rnacentral:pre_miRNA from 1 species
GCCGGCUCUGAUUGGUACUACAACUAGAUGCUCUAGUUAGUAACGAUCAGGGCGGUAGC